AAAUUUGAAAGCUGGCGUCUUCGGCGUCCGCGUUGUAAUCUCGAGACGUGUUUUCCGUGCGGCUCUAUGGACAAGUCCCUUGGAACAGGGCAUCGUAGAGGGUGAAAAUCCCGUACUUGCCAUGGAAGUACCGUGCUUUGUGAUACACGUUCCAAGAGUCGAGUAGUUUGGGAUUGCUGCUCAAAGUGGGUGGUAGACUCCAUCUAAAGCUAAAUAUCGGGGAGAGACCGAUAGCGAACAAGUACCGUGAGGGAAAGAUGAAAAGCACUUUGGAAAGAGAGUUAAAAGUACGUGAAAUUGUCGAAAGGGAAGCACUUGAAGUCAGCCAUGCUGCUUGAGACUCAGCCUGGCUUUUGCUUGGUGUAUUUCUCGGUAGCAAGCCAGCAUUGGUUUGUGUCGUCGGAGAAGCGUAUGGGGAAUGUGGCAUCCUCGGAUGUGUUAUAGCCCUGUGCUGGAUACGACGACGCAGACCAAGGAACGCAGUGU
rnacentral:rRNA from 1 species